rnacentral:rRNA from 1 species
ACGGGAGGCAGCAGCUAAGAAUAUUCCGCAAUGGACGAAAGUCUGACGGAGCGACGCCGCGUGGAUGAUGAAGGUCGGAAGAUUGUAAAAUCCUUUUAUAACUGAGGAAUAAGCAGUGUGAGAGAAACGCAUUGUGGUGACUGUAGGUUAUGAAUAAGCAACGGCUAAUUACGUGCAAGCAGCCGCGGUAACAAGUAAGAUGCGAGCGAUGUGCGGAAUUAUUGGGCGUAAAGGGAAUGUAGGCGGUUUUGCAAGCUUGAUGUGAAAGGCAGGAGCUUAACUCCUGGACUGCGUUGAGAACUGCAUAACUAGAGUCACUGAGGGGCAAGCAGAAUUCCAGGUGUAGGGGUGAAAUCUGUAGAUAUCUGGAAGAAUACCAAUGGCGAAGGCAGGUUACCAGCAGAUGACUGACGCUGAGGUGCGAAGGUGCGGGGAGCAAACAGGAUUAGAUACCCUGGUA